AACGCGAAGAACCUUACCUGGGCUCGAAAUGCAGGAGACCGGGGUAGAAAUAUCCUUUUCUCGCAAGAGACUGCUGUAUAGGUGCUGCAUGGCUGUCGUCAGCUCGUGUCGUGAGAUGUUGGGUUAAGUCCCGCAACGAGCGCAACCCUCAUCCCUAGUUGCCACCGGGUCAAGCCGAGCACUCUAGUGAAACCGCCCCGGAUAACGGGGAGGAAGGUGGGGAUGACGUCAAGUCCUCAUGGCCUUUAUGUCCAGGGCUACACACGUGCUACAAUGGUCGGUACAAACCGUCGCAAAACUGCAAAGUUGAGCUAAUCGGAAAAAGCCGGCCUCAGUUCGGAUUGGAGUCUGCAACUCGACUCCAUGAAGCUGGAAUCGCUAGUAAUCGCAGAUCAGAACGCUGCGGUGAAUACGUUCCCGGGCCUUGUACACACCGGCUAC
rnacentral:rRNA from 1 species